CUCAAACUGGGAUUAGAUACCCCACUAUUUUUAGUUGUAAAUUUAGUUUAAGCUUACCAGAGUACUACGAAUAAAAAGUUUAAAACUCAAAGAGCUUGGCGGUGUUUUAGACCUCUCAGGGGAACCUGUCUCAUAAUCGACAAUCCGCGUUAAACCUAACCUUUAAUAGCAAUUCAGCCUGUAUACCGUCGUCGUCAGGUAACUUCUUAAAAUAUAGUAGUUAGCUUGAAAAUUUUAUUAAUUAAAACGUCAGAUCAAGGUGCAGCUAAUGAAAGGGUGAGGAUGGGUUACAAUUACAUAUUUGUAAAUACGGAAAACAUUUGAAAGAAUGUCUUAAAGGAGGACUUGAAAGUAAUUUUGAUUAUAUAAAUAGAAUGAAUAAGGCUCUGAAACGUGCACACACCGCCCGUCACCCUCUGCAGUCAAAAA
rnacentral:rRNA from 1 species